rnacentral:rRNA from 1 species
UACGAAGGGGGCUAGCGUUGUUCGGAUUUACUGGGCGUAAAGCGCACGUAGGCGGAUCUUUAAGUCAGAGGUGAAAUCCCAAGGCUCAACCUUGGAACUGCCUUUGAUACUGGAGAUCUUGAGUCCGGGAGAGGUGAGUGGAACUGCGAGUGUAGAGGUGAAAUUCGUAGAUAUUCGCAAGAACACCAGUGGCGAAGGCGGCUCACUGGCCCGGUACUGACGCUGAGGUGCGAAAGCGUGGGGAGCAAACAGGG